GUAGGUGGCAAGCGUUGUCCGGGAAUUAUUGGGGCGUAAAGCGCGCGCAGGCGGUCCUUUAAGUCUGAUGUGAAAGCCCACGGGCUCAACUGUGGAGGGUCAUUGGAAACUGGGGGACUUGAGUACAGAAGAGGAAAGCGGAAUUCCACGUGUAGCGGUGAAAUGCGUAGAGAUGUGGAGGAACACCAGUGGCGAAGGCGGCUUUCUGGUCUGUAACUGACGCUGAGGCGCGAAAGCGUGGGGAGCAAACAGGAUUAGAUACCCUGGUAGUCCACGCCGUAAACGAUGAGUGCUAAGUGUUAGGGGGUUUCCGCCCCUUAGUGCUGCAGCUAACGCAUUAAGCACUCCGCCUGGGGAGUACGGCCGCAAAGGCUG
rnacentral:rRNA from 1 species